UUGAGAUCCAGGACGCUGAGG
rnacentral:miRNA from 1 species